rnacentral:rRNA from 1 species
CUUUGAGUUGGGGCAACUGUGGAGAAAAACAAAACCUCCAUGAACUAGGAUUUACCAUCCAUUCCAGGCCUACCAGCCAAAAAUAACCGACAUCGACCCAGUAAUACUGAUCAUCGAACCAAGUUACCCCGGGGAUAACAGCGCUAUCCCCUCCAAGAGUCCACAUCACCGAGGGGGUUUACGACCUCGAUGUUGGAUCAGGGCCCCCAGGCGGUGCAGCCGCUGCCAAAGGUUCGUUUGUUCAACGACUAACGCCCUACGUGAUCUGAGUUCAGACCG